UAGCUAACAAUCCAGCUAACAAACAAGGUGGAAUAUUCAGUGUUAAUCUAAUCCUUUUCUCCUGUCUCUCUCUGUCUUCAGUUUCCAGUAGCGUUUCGGAUCGAGUUUAAGAUCCCACAGUGAGCGUGACUGGUCCCCAGUGGCGGAGGAAGCCUCUCCUGCUUCCCUAAUUUGUAGGAAGGCCUCUUUGAAAGUGCCACCCAGAGCUGUCUGUGAAGUACGGCUGGAGUAGACCCCACCUGCCCGCUGUGCUGUCAGAAUAGUGACCCCUCCUGGCUAAUAGCCCUAUCUGCUCUCCACUGCUGCCCUCUUCACUUAUCUAUUUUGACAUCUGUCCCCCAAAAUCGGCCCCUCUCAAUUGGGGGCAAAUUCACCGAGGUCACGUAAACACUGUCAAUUAUAAAAAGAGCUGUACAUCUUUCUGUUCUGUCUGCAUGUGCCUGAUGCCGCAUGAUUUUUACAGACAUCCCACCUGGACGUGGGAGAAUGGUGAGAUUUGCCCGCCUGGGGUGGGGGUUGCGAUUUUCCAAGCUUCCUCUGCUGAAUGGCAGAAUGACGUUAGGUUGUUUUAAUUCUCUGUGGAUGGAUUUCCAGGACAUUGCACAUAAUUCGUGGGUGUCAGGGAGCUGCUGUCAAUUUGUGGGAGACUCCCGGGACUUCUGGGAGAAGAGGGAUGUCUGUUUUUGUGGCCAGACACACAUGCAGUCUGGGGUUCGAUAUAUGUGUGUACAUGCAUGUCAUUCUCUGUCUACAAUUAAAGCCACAGUGCACACACACACACACACACAGACACACACACACACAUAUAUAUAUUAUACAUAUAUAAAUAUACACACACAUAUAUUAUACAUACACACACACACCCAGAGUAGCUUUAAUUGUAGCCAGAGCUAGAGUAACAUGACACAACAAGCUUAAAACGAGCUGGAAAGGAGUCACCUGCAGGAAAUAGAGGUAUAAAUCAAAUCAUUGCAAACAGCAAUUUGUGGCUGAAUAUCUUUAAUCCCAGACUGUGUGAUUCGGGUGAGUGCAUAACAACACUCACAUUAUUCACUGGGGGGAUAUUCGAAACGCCAGUGUACAAGGCUCGAGAUUAGCAAAAAAGCAGAUGUCAGGAAAGAAAAGGUUUAAAGAAGGAAGGGAAGCGGUGUAACAAACACAGCGGCUGACGUCUCCUGCUGAUUUAAAGGUGCCUGAUUGCCUGUGGUAACAAAAUCUAUUUUGAGAUAUAGAGGCUUUUGACCUGCCACUAAAUCGCUUAUGCGCAAAUGGCCACCGGGUGUAAUUUCUCUACGAAAUGGCCGCUAGUUCCAGGGCAGGGUUUUAGCGGAGAGGUGCUAAUUAUUUGAGCAGAAAGAGGUCCAAACGAGACUGCCUUAUAAACACGUUUGUUUUCAGAAAGUAGCAGGGUGUGCUGGCACAGUGUCACUGUACUCUGUGACAUGUCCAGCAGCACUCGUUUUCUGGCACUAAAGAUGUGUUUCUUUUUCUCCUGAGUUCAAAUUCUUUUUUAGCCUCUUCUCAGUAUAUGCGGUUCAUCUAUCAGCUGAUGGCUGGCCGUCGCCCGGAUUCGGUGCUGGGACUGUGAAAGCAGCACCAAUGAAGUGCUCCGGCCGCAGUUAAUGGCCGGCACCAGAGUAACGGGAGCGAAACAAUCUGUCAUAACGCACCGUUUGGACUGUGAUUAAAAACAUGGAGGGACCCCAAAGAGGCUCUGGAAUCUUCCGCACAGAGGGGAUUUUCACACAUGGUUUGAAACUUCAGCCAAUUAUUAGAGUCGGAGGAGCGGGUGAUCUCUCGAGGGACCUGCUGCCUCAUCGCAUCAGUGUGUCUGAGCUAAAGCGCUCCUGCGAUGUGGGGUGGGGGGGCCGUAGCCACAUGUCUCUGUAGCUACAUCCCCCACCUCAGUGCAGGAGGUGGUCUAGUGGUCAGAAAUGGGACUACAUUACAGAUGGCUGCUACUUUGAGUGCAGUGAAGGGACCUGCUGUGGCACUCUUGAGAAAAGUAGGCCAGAGAGUAACAUUACUCUCUUUAAGAAAAUAUGAAUGGGAGGAAAUGUUUGUGUACUUUUGGAUUAAUGAGCUCUUCUUUAGUCACUUUGGCUAAAUUAAGGCAGAUUGGUGGGUAACACUCAUGCUACUCUGCACUGUAUGUAUGCGUGGGAGUUCACAUGUUCUUAUUGGGUUAUGUCAGUAACCUGCCAUCCAAACAUGGCAUCUCUGUAUAUGUGUGUGUGCCCUACCACGGACUGGAAUCCGGGCCAGUACCUGCCCCAGCCUUGUGCCCCAUUGAGAGCUUGGUUUCUGCUGUACGGUUUUCUUUUUCUGACCAUCUAAGCUGAAGCUCUGACCCUUGACAUCACCAAGCUUGGUCCCAUCUAGGAGCGUGUGGUUGCAGCUGCCUCCAUCAUCAGCGAGGUGCGUGUAAAGCUCAUCAUGUGGUGUUUGGAUGAUGAACGCGGGUCUUCGCCUGUAAAGUUGUUUUUUUCUUGUGUUGAUGCUCAGAUGUUGACCCCCCCCAUGCUCAUGAGAUGCAAACUGCACACAGAUAAUGCAGAAUCCCUGAGGUAUGCAUGCUAUUUAUGGACAUUGACUGGGGGGGAUGGGGGUGGAUGCUUUUAAAAGCCUCUGCAUUGAAGGUCAUUCAUAUUCCUGCUACUGAUACCAACCAUCACAAAGUAUAAUGGAUCCAAGAGGUUAAAAAUAGUUUAUGUGGGAGAGAGAGAAAACCAUGAAAAAUGAAUUGCUUUAACUUUCAUAACUUUGGGCUGCGUUUAAAGUCAGCAAAUGGCCCAUUUACACUGUAGCUUCCAGACUGAGUCAACAGACAUAAUGUGUGUAAUAUGCUCAGUACGAUUAUGUGUAAUAGGCUUCCACCUGCUUCGGUGGGCUCAGAAUAAUCUGACAUUGUUAAGAAUA